CCUACGGGAGGCAGCAGUGAGGAAUAUUGGUCAAUGGACGAGAGUCUGAACCAGCCAAGUAGCGUGAAGGAUGACUGCCCUAUGGGUUGUAAACUUCUUUUAUAUGGGAGUAAAAUGUUCCACGUGUGGGAUUUUGUAUGUACCAUAUGAAUAAGGAUCGGCUAACUCCGUGCCAGCAGCCGCGGUAAUACGGAGUAUCCGAGCGUUAUCCGGAUUUAUUGGGUUUAAAGGGAGCGUAGGUGGAUUGUUAAGUCAGGUGUGAAAGUUUGCGGCUCAACCGUAAAAUUGCAGUUGAAACUGGCAGUCUUGAGUACAGUAGAGGUGGGCGGAAGUCGUGGUGUAGCGGUGAAAUGCUUAGAUAUCACGAAGAACUCCGAUUGCGAAGGCAGUUCACUGGACUGCAACUGACACUGAGGCUCGAAAGUGUGGGUAUCAAACAGGAUUAGAUACCCUGGUAGUC
rnacentral:rRNA from 1 species